UCGUAUUUGUAUCAAUUUUAUGUCCAUUUCUAUACGUUAAGUGUGAUGGAAAUGUAGGCGUCCGUCAAAUUUUAAUAUCAGAAAUUGUAAUUCAAUUAUUCUGUUUUCAAGGAACAUAAAGUAAUUCAAAAUGUGUUGCGUGUGUGAUUAUCUUUGCCGGAUGAUUAGUUUCGUCAUUUCGUUGCUGAUCACCAUAGCAUUAAUAUUCAUACUUCUAUGGGUCUUCAGAGUCAUAUAGUUAAACUUGUACUACUAUUAAGAAAAAGAUGACAGCUUUAAGAUAAAUGUGUCAGUAUGCGGGUAAAUUUACUAUAAGGUAAGAUUACCUGCGUAUUUACCAUGUUCUUGCGGUAAACUUAUCCGAAUACUGACACAUUGACUAUAAGUUCAUAAGCUGUUGUGCGGCAUGGACGUUUAGAGUAUGUCUUUUUAAAAUACUAUCGUAAGGUGAUACCUUCACUCUAACAUACUCUAAAUGCAAUCAUAAGGUAUCAUCUUACGAUGGUACCUGUAAAAGAGUUGAGCCACGAGUGUGAACUCGUGACUCAACAAAAAUGAUUAAUAGAACAUAUGAUAAAGGCCGACUAGUUACUUUUGAACCCGGUGAUGGACGAACUAUUGAUAGAUUUGUUCGUGAUACCCAAAGAAGUAAUUAUUUUAUUGCAAUUUCCACAACAUAGAGAGGAUUCAAAAGUAACAUAAUCUGCCUUUACAUAAUUUUAUAAUUUUGUAUACCGAAUGCAAUCCUAUGUGAGACAAAACAUUUUGUAUCCAUUUAUUGAAUUCAAUUUAAUUUAUUAAAAACAAUAUAUUUA